rnacentral:lncRNA from 1 species
CACACUUUCCAUUCAGCCACUUGGUCUCGACCCUUUGAAGCGGGACAGUGGGCUGGAGGUCACGAGAAACACCAGCCUCUCUGUGCAGCCCCACUCAGCACGUGGAGCUGUGGACCCACCAGGACUCAAGUCCCAGAAGCCUGGCCUUUGGGGGAUUGGCCGGCACCCUCCCGUCCUCAGCGGAGGCUCAGCCUGGUGUCCUGCUCUGCAGCCCUGGUGACACUUUCCUCCCGGUGAGUCUGCCGCAGCGGGACACCACAUG